AUACGGAGGGUGCAAGCGUUACUCGGAAUCACUGGGCGUAAAGGACGCGUAGGCGGGUUGUCAAGUCUGAUGUGAAAUCCUAUGGCUCAACCAUAGAACUGCAUUGGAAACUGGCAACCUAGAGUAUGGGAGGGGGAGAUGGAAUUAGUGGUGUAGGGGUAAAAUCCGUAGAUAUCACUAGGAAUACCGAAAGCGAAGGCGAUCUCCUGGAACAUAACUGACGCUAAGGCGUGAAAGCGUGGGGAGCAAACGGGAUUAGAUACCCCAGUAGUCC
rnacentral:rRNA from 1 species